UUGGGAACACGGUGUACUAGAAAGAGGAGGGGGCGGGGGAGCGCCUUUUCUCUUUAUCUCGUGUUGGAUCCCGCGGCCACUUAAAUGGGUUUUAUUCCUUCAUUUCAUGUGUGCGGUCCUUCAAACAACUAUCCCGAUGGUGCAAUUGUUCUUUUGCGUGAACUUUGUGAAUAGUACGAGGUGAACUGAACUCUGUGAGAUAAGGCAGCAGUGUUGCAGCCACUAGGAAUGUUCAAGACUUCACUACCCAGAACCCAGUAGGCGCUCAGCACAAAACGCACAAUUGGAUACAGGUGUGUUGGGAGGUUGCAACAGUUGGGCUUGUGGGUAUAAAAACGUUUGUUUGAGACAGUUACGUACUUUCAGCCCGGGGACUCAGGGAGGUUACAGGAGCACACAGGCUAAGACGCAGUCAGAAGCAGCACUAUCAUGUCGGACUCUGAGAGCACUGCCCCAGCUGAGGUCCCCGUGCCUGCCGCCUGUGAGGCGAUCAAGGCCGACCUGGACAAGUGGUAAGUCCCGUUCCACUUUACCGCUCAGGGUGGGUAGGUGUUAGAUCUGUCAAGUGAUGUGGAGGUGUGUUGACUUGGACAUUCCUAUGAGAAGGGUUGAGGUUUUGUUCGUUUAAAAAAAAAAUGUAUGUGUUGGGAGGGUGUAUGUUAGGUUGGAGGAUGCAGUUGGUAAAGGUUUGGUUGCUGCAUCUUCAUGUGAAAAAUGGUGGGGUAGCAGGGUGCCAUAUUGGGUUGUAAGAGGUGGGUGGUCAGGCGUUUUUUCUCCGCUUUCAUUUGAAGUUUUUAUUUCAGUGUUUUUGAUUAUUAUUAUUUUUUUUUUUUUUUAACUUGAUGUUGUGAAUUCCAACACAUUGCCACUGUUGGAGAGGCUCUCGUCCAAACGUGAUGCUGCUGCUUACGCCUGAUUGGCGGCUGAGAAUGUGCCUACGUCACAUUUCUCUCCAGUCACUCGUGCUCCUCCACUGUCGCCCUCCUGCCUCUCAGGCCUUGCUGUGUCAACAUCCCUGCGGUGCGUGUGAGCCUACGGACUCUUGAGUUCUGACCUGCUCACUGUCCCUGCGCAGUAACCCACCCUGCUGCUAGGAUUAGUGUGAGCUUGUUAUGGGUUUUAUUUUUCUGUAAAUGCAGAGGGCUUGAGACCCAGGAAAUGCUGUGCUAAGCUAACCCUGUUGCCUCAAUGACAAAUGUCAAUGUCAAUGUCCAUGUUGGGUUCAAUAUUGUGACAUAACUUUGUC
rnacentral:lncRNA from 1 species